AGUCGAGCGAGACCUGCGGGUCUAGCGGCGGACGGGUUAGUAACGCGUGGGAAUAUACCCUUCACUACGGAAUAGCCUCGGGAAACUGGGAGUAAUACCGUAUACGCCCUUUUGGGGAAAGAUUUAUCGGUGAAGGAUUAGCCCGCGUCUGAUUAGAUAGUUGGUGGGGUAAUGGCCUACCAAGUCUACGAUCAGUAGCUGGUUUGAGAGGAUGAUCAGCAACACUGGGACUGAGACACGGCCCAGACUCCUACGGGAGGCAGCAGUGGGGAAUCUUAGACAAUGGGCGCAAGCCUGAUCUAGCCAUGCCGCGUGAGUGACGAAGGCCUUAGGGUCGUAAAGCUCUUUCGCCAGAGAUGAUAAUGACAGUAUCUGGUAAAGAAACCCCGGCUAACUCCGUGCCAGCAGCCGCGGUAAUACGGAGGGGGUUAGCGUUGUUCGGAAUUACUGGGCGUAAAGCGCACGUAGGCGGAUUGGAAAGUAUGGGGUGAAAUCCCAGGGCUCAACCCUGGAACUGCCUUGUAAACUCCCAGUCUAGAGUUCGAGAGAGGUGAGUGGAAUUCCAAGUGUAGAGGUGAGAUUCGUAGAUAUUUGGAGGAACACCAGUGGCGAAGGCGGCUCACUGGCUCGAUACUGACGCUGAGGUGCGAAAGUGUGGGGAGCAAACAGGAUUAGAUACCCUGGUAGUCCACACCGUAAACGAUGAAUGCCAGACGUCAGGGGGCUUGCCCUUUGGUGUCACACCUAACGGAUUAAGCAUUCCGCCUGGGGAGUACGGUCGCAAGAUUAAAACUCAAAGGAAUUGACGGGGGCCCCGCACAAGCGGGGG
rnacentral:rRNA from 1 species